CGUCAGUCCGUCAGUCGGUGGCGGCGCGUCGCCGUGUUUGCGUGUGGAGUGUGUAAUUUUCAUGUCACGUCGUACAUCACCCCCCCGUCGUCCACCGUCUUUGUGCCACUCUCUCUAAUACUCCUCUAAUCGCCGCCCCCGCUGUGACAUUAUUCGCAUCACUCGAUGUCAUUAUUGAACUCUUUUACCGGUUAAUUAAAUUUCCGUCUCUCGUGGAGAAGCGAGCGACGGUGCGUUUCUCUCCGCAAAUCCUGUGUCAAUCCCGCUAAUCAAAUCGAUAAGGAUUUGUGACAUUUGUAAAGUAACAUAGAAACGCUUCGAAUGUCUUUGUUCAAAGUGCGAUAUUCUAUUUUAUAUUUAUAAGCUUUCUUUUGUGUGUUUAAUAUUGUAAAAUUAUUAAGUAGAUUUUCAAGUUUAUAAUUGAUGUAUAAUUAUAUGGUAUUGUACUGUUGCUCUUAUUUGAUUGAAAAACAAAAAUUAUAGUCAACGAGAGAAGAUUACGAUGCUCUCAGAUGUCUGUCGAACUAUUAUCAAAAUAAAUAAUUAAAAUUUUUUGUUUACAGUUAAAAAAUGUUUAGUUAGAUUCUCGCAGAUUAUAUGUAAAUCGUUUAUAAUUAAUAAGAUUGCUAAAAGUUUUCCUUACAAUUAGAAGUAACAAUUUAUAUUACAUAGUUACAUUAACAAUUAUUCAAAAGAAAACAAUUAUUUCUGUUUAGAACAUCGAUUGUGAACGUACUGAUGCUUCGCAUUUUUGAGAGAGCCAUAAAAGAGGUCUUCACAAUAUUUUAUUUCCUUACAAAGAAACUGGAAACGUUGACUAAACUUGAACGCUGGAAAUCGCGUGGAAUCGACCACUCGAGUACGUCUGUUUGCCACACAUUUCUCGCGCUAAAAGCAACUCAAGCGAACUCGGGGGUGUAUUGAUCAAAAGGUUAAUUAUCGUACGUUCGGCGAGAGCGUGAUCGAAAGUUUCCGAAACUUGAGUGGAGUGACACUCUACACGCGCACGUUCUCAUGUAAAUUACGCGCGCGUAUUUCCCGCAAGUAAAUAUUUUAUCACGUGCACAUAAUCACGAGGACCCGGAAGCCCGAGGAAAUUUCUCCGGAAACCACGUCGAUAAGAACGAGGAUUACGCUUGACGACGCAAGAGGAUGGAGAUGUCAGUCAUGAUUCCUGUCGAUGAAGACCUCUCGAGUCAUCACGAUGACGCCGAGCGCGACGGUGGUCGGUAUCCUUGAAGAGGAGACGCGCGUCGCGACAAUGCACGGGUGAUACGGGAUAAGGCUCCUUCAAGACAAGAUGUUGAUCAAGGAGUAUCGCAUACCACUGCCUCUCACGGUAGAGGAGUACCGAAUCGCCCAGCUGUAUAUGAUAGCGAAAAAAUCCCGAGAGGAGAGUAAGGGUGCCGGCAGCGGCGUAGAGAUCAUCGAGAACGAGCCGUACAGCAACGGGCCGGGUGGUAAUGGACAAUACACGCACAAGAUCUACCACGUGGGCAGCCACCUGCCCGGUUGGUUCAAGAGCCUGCUGCCCAAGUCGGCGCUGAUCGCCAAAGAGGAGGCAUGGAACGCCUAUCCUUAUACCAAGACGCGCUACACGUGUCCGUUCGUCGAGAAAUUCUCCGUCGAGAUCGAGACCUACUACUUCCCGGACGACGGUCACCAGGAGAACGUCUUCAAUCUCACUGGCAGUGAUUACAGGAAUAGGAUCGUGGACGUGAUCGACAUCGUCAAGGAUCAGCCUUACGGGGCCGACUACGUGAAGGAGGAGGACCCGAAGCUGUACGUAUCUGAGAAAACCGGAAGGGGUCCGCUGGAGGACAUGUGGCUGGAGGAUUAUUGGGCCGAUGUGGAAGGAAAGCAACAGCCAACGCCGUCGGGAAAGUCACUAAUGUGCGCGUACAAGCUAUGCCGAGUAGAGUUCCGUUAUUGGGGCAUGCAAACGAAAUUAGAAAAGUUCAUACACGACGUAGCUCUGCGGAAGACGAUGGUGCGGGCACACAGGCAGGCGUGGGCCUGGCAGGACGAGUGGAACGGUUUGACGAUGGAGGACAUCCGGGAGAUUGAACGGCAGACGCAGCUGGCGCUCCAGAGAAAGAUGGGUCUGGGUGACUCGACGGAUGACGAACUCGACAACGAGGAAGCGGGCGCGAUGGCGACGACGAUGACUUCGACAAUGGUGACGGCAACCGCGACGGCCACGAUGACACCGCAGCAAGAAUCGGACGUCGCUAAGACACUCGCGGCCACCCUGGGCAGCAUCGAGAAGAACGAAGAAGUACAGAGUCCGCCGUCCGUCAGGAAGCCGUCCGACAUCCCCAUCAUCAACACGGCGGCCAGUUCCGAGGGCGAGAUCAGUCCCGAGGACUCGCCGGUCGACCUGAACGAGAUCAAAGCCGCGACCAUCGAUGGAAAGAAGGACUGGAGGAAGAACGUGUCCGCACAUUCGCCGAGUUCCAACAAGAGUUUCGAUAUCCAAAUUGCGAACUGGAGGAUGGAGAGCAUCGUCAGAGAGUCCGAAUCCGGCAGCGACGACGAGUUCUUCGAUUGUCAAGCUGGGUUCAUUAUACCUGUUAUACGCAAAGAGAACUUUGAGGAUAACUCUUCAUUAGCUAAAUGGAGUUCUUUGGAUCUUCUAGCAGAAGGGGAGGACACCACUGUGCGUACAUCUCCUGCUGCAAACGAGCAGGAAGACACGAUAUUUUCGUCGUCAUAUCUGCAACGCGUCGCCAGCGAACGAAAUAGUAAGAGGCUGCAGAUCUGCACGUCUACUAGUAUCGACGUGUCGUGCCCGACAUCUCCUCAACACUCUCCUACGCAUCAGCCGUGCAAAAUUACCGUGUUAAUUAUCGUGGUGCACGGUGGUAGCCUUUUAGACGCGAAUGUUGAUUUAACGGCAAAGAAGUCAGACAUAACGACAUUCCGCGGAGCCUUCGAGUCCGUCAUGAGACAGCAUUAUCCUAGUAUGGUUGGGCAUGUGUCCAUCAAAUUUGUCGCCUGCCCUUCCAUCUGCACCGAGGGUCUUGGAAUUUUAUCAAGUCUGAGUCCAUAUAGUUUUGAUAUGUCGCCUUCAUGCAUGGACACGCCGCAAGUGACGCACGAUACCAUCCCGAUCGGCGCAAUCCCGUUGCUGGCGAGUUCGACCUCGGAUUAUCAAGAUGCGGUGUCGCGCGUCGUAAUGGGCGCCAAUCAGGUAUAUCACGAGUUCAUCAAGAGCGACGAAGGCAAAGGCUUUACUGGGCAGAUCUGCUUCGUGGGUGACUCGGUGGGUUCCAUCCUGACUUACGACGCCCUGUGUAGAGCGACGCAAUACUCGCGACACAGUAGCGAGAACAGUAUUCUGGAAGGCAGUGGUCAGCAGGGUGAUAACGGCGGAAAUUUAGAAGAUGGCAAGCAUCUAUCCGCGCCCUCUCCCAGAAGAAGAUCUUCUGGCACGAGUCCAUCAGACAAUCCACACCACAACAAGCUUGACUUCGAAGUGGGCGAUUUUUUUACGUUUGGCAGUCCGCUUGCAUUGGUCCUGGCUUACAGGAAGAUCGCAGCGUCCAGUGACAAGAAUAGCUUCAUUCCCAGGCCAUUGGUCAAUCAAGUGUACAAUCUGUUCCAUCCCACCGAUCCUGUAGCCGCGAGAUUAGAACCCCUGAUCUCGGCAAGGUUUUCGUUAAUUCCGCCGGUCAACAUCGCCCGAUAUCAAAAGUAUCCGCUCGGCAACGGUCAGCCUUAUCACUUGCUGGAGACUAUACAGACCAACCCGCAGCUGUUCGCUGAUGGACUGAACAUUCCUAAUCUUCAACUUUUAAGAAGACUAUCCGAUAUAUCGCUUCAAAGUACAAUGUCGGGCAUUAUCGACAAUGUUCCUUUACAGGCGGUGUCUGCCCUGACGCAAAAGUGGUGGGGCUCCAAGAGGCUAGAUUACGCGCUCUACUGUCCAGAGGGUCUCGCCAAUUUUCCUACGAACGCCUUGCCACAUCUCUUCCACGCUAGUUACUGGGAGUCCUCGGACGUGAUCGCGUUCAUUCUGCGGCAGUUGGGCAGAUUCGAUUUGCCGCUGCUUGGCAACGAGGAGAAAGAUCUCGCUUGCUUCCGUCCAGGUCAACCUAGAGAGAAAUGGAAUAAAAAGCGUACCUCCGUUAAAAUUAAGGUAUCGUCAUUUCUCAUAAGGUUGCUUAAGCGUGAUCUUAGAUAUAGAUAUAAGAACGUUGCUGCCAAUCACAGAGCGAACGACGUCAUCGUGAGGGAAGGCGCACCACAAGUAUUAAUUGCUAGGUUCAUGUACAGUCCUAUUGAUAUGAUAACUUUAACAGGUGAGAAAGUGGAUAUCCAUAUUAUGAAAGACCCACCAGCAGGCGAGUGGACGUAUCUAUCUACCGAGGUAACUGAUAAGAAUGGUAGAAUAAUUUACAAGAUACCGGACGAUAAAGCGCUAGGUUACGGACUUUAUCCGGUAAAGAUGGUUGUAAGAGGAGAUCAUACAUCUGUAGACUUUUUUAUGACUGUGAUACCGCCGAGGACCGAGUGCGUGGUCUUUAGCAUAGACGGCUCCUUCGCCGCCAGCAGGUCCGUGAGCGGGAAGGAUCCGAAAGUCCGGGCCGGUGCCGUCGACAUUGUGAGGCAUUGGCAGGAACUGGGUUAUCUCAUCAUUUACAUUACCGCGAGACCUGACAUGCAACAGCAGACAGUGGUUUCCUGGCUGUCGCAACACAACUUUCCUCACGGUCUCGUCUCGUUCGCGGACGGCCUUUCCAGGGAUCCGCUCGCCCACAAAGCCGCUUACCUGAAUAAGCUUGUGAAGGAGCACGGCAUGAUAAUUCAUCAGGCAUACGGCAGCGAGAAGGACAUUAGCGUGUACACGGCGAUAAAUCUCAAGCCAAGCCAAAUCUUCAUCAUCGGCAAGGCAUCCAGGAAGCAUCAAGCUCUGGCGACAAUACUGUACGACGGCUACGCCGCUCAUCUGAGUACGCUGCAGGCACACGGGGGUUCGCGUCCCGCCCAGGGUAACGCGCGCAUGGUGAUUCCGAGGGGUCAGUUUGGCUUACCGGGACAAAAUACUUCCCUACGUCGACGAAGUACCUUGGCGCAAACUGCACAGUCUUCAAUAUUCUUUUGUCGCGAUCAGGCAAGAAAGGGUUGAGGGAAAGGACACCGUUUGCGGCACUCGCGCGCGAGCUGAGCACAGCUCUUCAGCCGUGGCAAGCGUCUAUGUGUCCUCAGUGUGUGAAAACGAGCACCGGCUAUGUUCCAGUAACGACACUGCGGUGAACUCCCCGGCGCGCAACAGCGUCUACUUAAAGCGGAAAAUCUACCUUACUCACAUCUAACACACGCCUAUAAUCUACGUACAAUUAACUUACUCACAUUGGUACCUGCUAUGAGGAUAUGUCGCGUUGUCAGCGUAGUUAAAUAUCACUCUGUCUCUGUCUCUCGCUCGGCGAAAAGCAGUUGUCGCCAUCCUACGCUCGAACUUAUUGUUUGUCUAUUGGCUAGUACAUAUGUCCAGGAUAUGUGGUUAAACCCGCUCUAUGACCCGCUCUAGAUACGUUCGGGAAAAAUAGAGUCGUUUUCGUUACCCUUCCGAAAUGAACCGGUUUCACUUUAGCGACGAAGGUAAACCGCCGUCUCAUGUUCCGCUUGAAACUUGUUAGAUCAGUGUUUUGUGUUACAAAAGACCACCUAGAUCCACCACCUAGACUGUUUUGGGUUUCCUCGCGGGUUUCCCUUAACAGAGUUGAGUUUAAACUUUUAAUUGCAGUUAAAUUACUGACCGUGCAUUCAAAAGAUGCAUCAUUCUUGAAGAAUAUAACAAUUGGUCUAAAUUGAGUGAUUAACAUCUUCUUAAAAUGGACUUGAAUAUGAUUUAAUAAUAUCUGUUAAGACAUACGUCUAAUUGUUUUUAGUAAAAAUUUGGUAAAAAAAGUACUGAACAUGUUUACAACUUUAACUUAAGAAAUACAAAAGAAUUCGAGAAGAUUAAAAAUUUUAUGUAUGACAUAACUAAUGUUAUGUAGAACUGAAUCUCUAAUCUCUGAAGAGAUUUUAAGUUGAUCGAGACUAUUGUUUAUGCAUAAUUAAUCUUGUAAUAGAAUAAUAUAAUAAAAUUUACAAGAAACUUGUGGAAUCAUCAUACUAUAAAAUUCGCUUAUCGAGUUCAAUAAAAUAAAAUAAAAGUAGAAUCUAGUUAAAUGGAAACUUAAUUGAACGAUCUCGGAUAAACAGUUUCCUUGGUGGUAGAUCAGGUUGAAUCAUUGCUUGUGUAAAAAGGCCACGAUAGCACGAAUGAGGAUGCGAUAGACUUACGAAGGAUGUGACACCAUGCACGAUUAUUAUAUAUGUGAAUGUGCAAGUCUCGAGAACUCACGGACACACACCGUGCGAUCUCUCUUAGAGGCAGAUGCUAGCAUUUUCAUCCGAUCAUGCAACUACGCUGUGCCGAUCAUAAUUCACGCGAGUCGUACUUAAUCAAUCUCGUCGCUCUGAGCGGUUCUGGUUCGUUCAUGAAUUGCAUUCCAUAGGUGGCGAGACCAUGGGACAAGUGUGGGACGAUAGCGUACGCUAGUAAGAAAGCAGUGCCAAGAAUUAAUCGAAAAGGAAAUGUAAGGAAGGACUCCCCCGCAGGCCAUUCUAACAAGAUCUCUUCACGUGCUUGUAGAAAUUGAUCGAUUGAUCAUGAGAUUCGUUCCGUGAACCAUCACAUCCCAUAGCUGUUUUGCUGCCUCUAGAGAGAAAGUCAUUUCGCCCUUUUUUCGCUUAUUUAUUAAUGGGCUCCCUUUAUAGUUCUGGCAGCUUUAUCGUAUUUUAUAGUGUUAGUAGACUCGACGAAGACUCAACGAGCUUAUCACGUGUUGAUUUUAUCUGUUGCUCCCUUGUCCAAUAAACUAUCACGAACAUUUUGCAAUAAAAUAAUGACAAUAAAUGGAAAGUUGUCUACAAAAAAAAAAUCUAGAACUGUGCAUAAAAUUAAUGCAUAAAAUUAAUCUGUUAGAUCAUUAACUAAGUAAUUCGGGUUGCAUCUAGAUGGCAAUAUAAAUGUUGUAGUAAUGUUUUGGAGAAUUUUGGUUUUUGUUUUUUGAAAUUUGCCUAUCCUAAUAUAAAAUUAAUACACAAUAAGCUAUGUUGUGCUGUCGUAAGUAUGUGUUUAGUGUAAUUCAUCGUCAUCUAGAUGCGAUCCUUAGUUAAUGACCUAAACUAUUACUUAUUCUUAGUUAAUGAUCUAAACUAUUGCGCGUGUGAAAAAAUAAAUUGCUUCCGUAUUUCAAGAUCGUUAUAGUAUCAAAAUCACAAAUUGGUGAUAGUUGGUAAUUAUGGCUGCCAGAGCUAUAAUAUCUAGGAUUACGUAAGAGAAGCUUGGACAGUUCAGCACCUGUCCCGCUUAGUUGAAUGUUUAGCGCUGCGAUUCCACGUCAUCCAAGGACAACAGAUCCGAAUGAUCGUCUCGCUGUCACUUGCAGGGUGGACAGGUGUCCACCGUCUACAUCUGGUUCAUUAUUUAUUAACGCUUCACAGAGAUGUUACGACACGCUUCCCAGCAGUAUAAUGUUAAACACGCCGCUUUCCCCGCUGUGCUGUACUCAUUCAUCCGCUUUCAAUGGCGAUUUGUAUUUAGCUCGCUCGCAAGCGAGUUUAACUUCAAUCCAAUCGAAGCACACUAUUCCACACGGGAUGCAGAAAAAUAUGCAGAGAGACAAUAAUGAAACAGAAUCGAAUCCGUAUUUUUUCAUAGCAAAAAUUGUAACUUGUAGCUCGAGUGUCUUAUUUUUAUCAGCUGUGCUGACCAAAUACUAAGGCUGAAUUGAACCUUGAAGCUGAUCAGAUACUAAAAGUGUUAAAGUUUUGAUGAAUUUCCAAGAGUUUCAAACG
rnacentral:misc_RNA from 1 species